GUCUCUGAUUGGCAGGAGAGUCACGAACCGGUCAGCCCCGGGUCAGGGGCCGCAACUGCAGUGUGGUAAACUGCCUUUGAAAGAGACCCACAUGUCAAGAAACUGAGCAUCACCUGUGACCAACAGCCAGAAAGUAACUGAAGCCCCAAGACGAACAGCUUGUGCAAAACUAAAUUCUGCCUACAACAAGAGCAUGAAUUGAGACGCAGAUCCUUCCCUAGUUGAUCCUUGAAAUGCUUGCAGCUCUAUGGACACCUUGAUUGCAGCCUUGUGAGAAAUUCUGAACUAGAGGACCU
rnacentral:lncRNA from 10 species